UACAGAGACUGCAAGCGUUAUUCGGAUUCACUGGGCGUAAAGCGUGCGCAGGCGGUUCGUUGUGUCGGCGGUGAAAGCCCCGGGCUUAACCUGGGAAUGGCCGUUGAAACUGGCGAGCUGGAGUGUGGCAGAGGGGGGUGGAAUUCCGCAUGUAGCAGUGAAAUGCGUAGAGAUGCGGAGGAACACCGAUGGCGAAGGCAGCCCCCUCGGCGUAACACUGACGCUCAGGCACGAAAGCGUGGGGAGCAAACAGG
rnacentral:rRNA from 1 species